rnacentral:rRNA from 1 species
ACGUCUACGAGAGGGUUUCGAUUACUGGCUCAGGAUGAACGCUGGCGGCGUGCCUAAUACAUGCAAGUCGAACGAGGGUGCUUGCACCCUAGUGGCGAACGGGUGAGUAACACGUAGGUAACCUGCCCUUAAGCUUGGGAUACCCAGAGGAAACUUUGGCUAAUACCGGAUAACAACAGAGAAGGCAUCUUCUUUGCUUGAAAGGCCCUUUCGGGUCACUUAAGGAUGGACCUGCGGCGCAUUAGCUAGUUGGUGAGAUAACAGCCCACCAAGGCGAGGAUGCGUAGCCGAACUGAGAGGUUGAUCGGCCACAUUGGAACUGAGACACGGUCCAAACUCCUACGGGAGGCAGCAGUAAGGAGUUUUCGGCAAUGGGGGAAACCCUGACCGAGCAACGCCGCGUGAGUGAUGACGGCCCUAUGGGUUGUAAAGCUCUUUUAUAAGGGACGAAUGGUGGGGUUAGGAAAUGAACUCCAUUUGACGGUACCUUUUGAAUAAGCCACGGCUAACUACGUGCCAGCCGCGGC